rnacentral:rRNA from 1 species
GUGGUUCUGAAUGGAAGGGCCAUCGCUCAACGGAUAAAAGGUACUCCGGGGAUAACAGGCUGAUACCGCCCAAGAGUUCAUAUCGACGGCGGUGUUUGGCACCUCGAUGUCGGCUCAUCACAUCCUGGGGCUGAAGUAGGUCCCAAGGGUAUGGCUGUUCGCCAUUUAAAGUGGUACGCGAGCUGGGUUUAGAACGUCGUGAGACAGUUCGGUCCCUAUCUGCCGUGGGCGCUGGAGAACUGAGGGGGGCUGCUCCUAGUACGAGAGGACCGGAGUGGACGCAUCACUGGUGUUCGGGUUGUCAUGCCAAUGGCACUGCCCGGUAGCUAAAUGCGGAAGAGAUAAGUGCUGAAAGCAUCUAAGCACGAAACUUGCCCCGA